rnacentral:rRNA from 1 species
GACGGAUGGGGCAAGCGUUAUUGGUCAUUACUGGGUGUAGAGGGUACGUAGAUGGUUUUACUUUAUUUUUAUGAAAUGUUUGGGUUUAGCUUUCUCAUUUUAUAAAUACAUAAACGAAACUUGAGUUUUUUAGGCGUAAUAAGAAUUUUUCAUGGAGGGGUAAAAUCCGCUGAGGUCAAAAGGAAUGCUUAAGGCUAAUGCACGUUACGAUUGAAAACUGACAUUAAGGUACGAAGGUAUGGGGAGCAAACAGG